rnacentral:ncRNA from 1 species
UGAUAGCGUUGAAGCGUGAGGUUGCUGCUGAGGAUUAGCAGGUUUUCCGUGGAGCGAAUGUCAAGUUAGGAAACUGGCGACAA